GACAGAGGUGCCGAGCGUUAGGCGGAAUCACUGGGCUUAAAGCGUGUGUAGGCGGAUUUGUAAGUACCUUGUGAAAUCCCACGGCUCAACCGUGGAACUGCUCGGUAUACUGCUUAUCUUGAGCCACUUAGGGGCAGUCGGAACAGACGGUGGAGCGGUGAAAUGCGUAGAGAUCGGAAAGAACACCAACGGCGAAAGCACUCUGCUGGGCCGACACUGACACUGAGAGACGAAAGCUAGGGGAGCGAAUGGG
rnacentral:rRNA from 1 species